rnacentral:rRNA from 1 species
UACGUAGGGUGCGAGCGUUAAUCGGAAUUACUGGGCGUAAAGCGUGCGUAGGCGGUUUCAUAAGCUUGAUGUUAAAGCCCCGGGCUCAACCUGGGAAUGGCAUUGAGGACUGUGGAGCUAGAGUGCGGCAGAGGGAGGUGGAAUUCCACGUGUAGCAGUGAAAUGCGUAGAGAUGUGGAGGAACACCGAUGGCGAAGGCAGCCUCCUGGGCCGACACUGACGCUGAGGGCACGAAAGCGUGGGGAGCAAACAGG